rnacentral:rRNA from 1 species
UACGUAGGGCGCAAGCGUUGUCCGGAAUUAUUGGGCGUAAAGAGCUCGUAGGCGGCUUGUCACGUCGGGUGUGAAAGCCCGGGGCUUAACCCCGGGUCUGCAUUCGAUACGGGCUAGCUAGAGUGUGGUAGGGGAGAUCGGAAUUCCUGGUGUAGCGGUGAAAUGCGUAGAUAUCAAGAGGAACACCUGCGGCGAAGGCGGGUUGCUGGGCCGACACUGACGCUGAGGCGCGAAAGCCAGGGGAGCGAACGGG